rnacentral:tRNA from 1 species
GUUUUCGUAGUGUAAGCAAAACGGCAGUUUUUCAAGUUGUUGAUCCUAGUUAGAGUCUAGGCGAAAAUG